UACGUAGGGGGCAAGCGUUGUCCGGAAUCAUUGGGCGUAAAGAGCGCGUAGGCGGUCCGGUAAGUCCGCUCUGAAAGUCCGGGGCUCAACCCCGGGAGGCGGGCGGAUACUGUCGGGCUAGAGUCCGGAAGAGGCGAGUGGAAUUCCUGGUGUAACGGUGAAAUGCGCAGAUAUCAGGAGGAACACCAAUGGCGAAGGCAGCUCGCUGGGACGGUACUGACGCUGAGGCGCGAAAGCGUGGGGAGCAAACAGG
rnacentral:rRNA from 1 species